AUACUGCGGCGGAUUUGAAACAAAAAAUAGAAGAAAUAGAAGCAGGCAGAACUACCCUUUUAACAUUCAAAUGGGACUGUUUUAUCGGGAAUUUUUUUAUUUUUUAUUUUUUAUUUAUUUAUUUUUUUUGCAGUUCUGCAUGAUGUUGCUAGAGGAAACAUUUUAGAUGUCAUUGGUGGCAACAGGUGAAGUCAAAAUAUUGAAUGAGUACAAACAUUUGGGCGAUUUCUAUAAUUUACUGUGCGGCAAAGGAGUGGAUGAUGGAUUUUCUUGACAUAUAGUGCUGGCUACAAUAUACAACUGCAUGACUGGAGCCAACUGGAUCUCCAGACGAAGACUCUUCAUAUCAGCAAUGAUGAAAGAGGACGAGGGCUGGAAGAUGCUCACAGGACCUGGGACAACAAAAUGGAAAACAUCUGGAUCAUCUGCUGUACUGGCAGACCUUAGUGAGGAUGUAGUCACAGUUGCCGCUGAAAGUGAAGGUCUUUCCAUCAUAAGUGGUGACGUGAGACCCUCCAACAACAGAGCAGAUUCCGGGACAAUCCAGAAAUGAUACUCACGACAAAGCUGUUCUGUCCUCCAUGUUCCUGGUAUUCCUCCAGCAUGAGUGCACUGUCGUGAAACCUCUGUGAGCGUGUUGCAGAGACAGUCGUGGUUGGCGUAACACCGACACAGGUCAUCUAC